AGAGUGCCAGGAGCUUUGUGGAAGAGGCAGGCAGAAGCCGAAUCUUGGGACCAUCCUUUCUCACCUUGCAUGGCCCAACAAGUCUGUGUAGGGCCUUUUCCAGGAAGGCAGAGCCUACCCCUAGCUGACUCUGUGUCCCUUCCUGUGGUUGCCUCACUGGUCCAGUCUCACUAGUCCCUCUGGCUCCCUCUGGCUACUUCCGGCUUCCUCUGGCAACAGACUACUGGGGGAGAUAAGUGAGAAUUGCAACAUGCUCUCUCAUUACCCUCAAGGAACUAGAAAGAUAGAAUCUCUACGGACCCCACAAGACGACUGAUACUACAGACUAGACAAGAGCACCAGAUGAGAAAAUGGAGGUACCAAAAAGUGGGCUCUGAACUGCAGAGCCUGGCUCCAGAGCCCUUGUAUUUGACUACUGGGAUCCACCGUUAUUCUCACAGCCGCGUUUCCCACAGGGCUGCUUUGUAUGGCCUCUUAGAAAAGUCCUGCCUGUCUCCACCAUCCAGACUAUGAUGUCCGUGAGGUCAGAGGAAAGGGAGAAUGUCUCACAUACAGAAAAUGCUUGAUCAACAUUGAUGGAAUCAUAAAUGGGCCUCAGCGGCACCUGUCCUGAGUCAGCAUCUCACAGAGGUUUUGCCAGCGCCAGCCACAUCUCCAGCAUGAAGGUGAUUGUCUGAGUGUGUCCAGUCCAGUUCCUGCCUUAAUAAAAAUCACUGCUGCAAGGGAGAGGGCUGCCAAGGCCCUGCCUCCCUCCAACCCCA
rnacentral:lncRNA from 1 species